rnacentral:rRNA from 1 species
GCCUAACACAUGCAAGUCGAGCGGAAACGACACUAACAAUCCUUCGGGUGCGUUAAUGGGCGUCGAGCGGCGGACGGGUGAGUAAUGCCUAGGAAAUUGCCUUGAUGUGGGGGAUAACCAUUGGAAACGAUGGCUAAUACCGCAUAAUGCCUACGGGCCAAAGAGGGGGACCUUCGGGCCUCUCGCGUCAAGAUAUGCCUAGGUGGGAUUAGCUAGUUGGUGAGGUAAUGGCUCACCAAGGCGACGAUCCCUAGCUGGUUUGAGAGGAUGAUCAGCCACACUGGAACUGAGACACGGUCCAGACUCCUACGGGAGGCAGCAGUGGGGAAUAUUGCACAAUGGGCGAAAGCCUGAUGCAGCCAUGCCGCGUGUAUGAAGAAGGCCUUCGGGUUGUAAAGUACUUUCAGUUGUGAGGAAGGGGGUAGCGUUAAUAGCGNCUAUAUUGGGCGUUAGCAACAGAAGAAGCACC